AUCAGGUCGAUUUCAUCGAUAUAUUGCCAGAAAUCUUGCAACUUCCGGAAGAAGAAGCUCCUUUCUUGGUAUAAUCGAUGAUGAAUGAGGCGAGGAAGAGAAAAGGCGAUGGCGUUUCGUCUAUAUUGACUUGAUAGUUUGCAUGAAAAAUGAACGCUGUUUAGGUCACGUCACUAUUAUCGCGCGUAACUUGCAUAUAUUAUGAUUACAUUGCGGACUUUUAUGCAUUUAUGGAAAACUUGGAGAUGCAAGAAUGCAAUGUACAUAAUACGCAAAAAUACAACGUACGUAACGUGCAAAAUUGCAGUGUACAUAAUAUGCAGAAAUGCA
rnacentral:misc_RNA from 1 species